CUCUGGCCUCCAAGGGCUCCUCCCUUCUCUCCCUCCCUGUCUAUACCUUUGAAGCUCUGGGAUGGGUCUGAAGCCAGACGUACGGCCAAGUGCAGGCCAAUGCCCGAGGAACAGCCGGUGAUGAGCACCACGGUGCGGGCCAUGCUGCCCAAGGCAGGACUCUAAUCUGAUUGUGGGUUGUAGAAUCCUCAUUCCAGAGUGGGUCCUUGCCCCAUACCCUGGAGAAAGGAAUGCUGCACAAAGGCCCA